UAUGUGUAAGUAACUGUGCACAUCUUGACGGUACCUAAUCAGAAAGCCACGGCUAACUACGUGCCAGCAGCCGCGGUAAUACGUAGGUGGCAAGCGUUAUCCGGAAUUAUUGGGCGUAAAGCGCGCGUAGGCGGUUUUUUAAGUCUGAUGUGAAAGCCCACGGCUCAACCGUGGAGGGUCAUUGGAAACUGGAAAACUUGAGUGCAGAAGAGGAAAGUGGAAUUCCAUGUGUAGCGGUGAAAUGCGCAGAGAUAUGGAG
rnacentral:rRNA from 1 species